UACGUAGGUGGCAAGCGUUGUCCGGAUUUACUGGGCGUAAAGAGCGCGCAGGCGGUCGUUCAAGUCGCGUGUGAAAGCCCCCGGCUCAACUGGGGAGGGUCACGCGAUACUGAUCGACUCGAAGGCAGGAGAGGGUAGUGGAAUUCCCGGUGUAGUGGUGAAAUGCGUAGAUAUCAUGAGGAAUACCAGAGGCGAAGGCGGCUACCUGGACAAUUGCUGACGCUCAGGCACGAAAGCGUGGGGAGCAAAAGGG
rnacentral:rRNA from 1 species